rnacentral:rRNA from 1 species
UACGUAGGGUGCAAGCGUUGUUCGGAAUUACUGGGCGUAAAGGGCGCGUAGGCGGCCUACUAAGUCGGACGUGAAAUCCCUCGGCUCAACCGAGGAACUGCGUCCGAUACUGGCAGGCUGGAAUCCGGGAGAGGGAUGUGGAAUUCCAGGUGUAGCGGUGAAAUGCGUAGAUAUCUGGGAGGAACACCGGUGGCGAAGGCGGCAUCCUGGACCGGUAUUGACGCGUGAG